rnacentral:rRNA from 1 species
GACGAACCGUGCGAACGUUAUUCGGAAUCACUGGGCUUAAAGGGCGCGUAGGUGGGUUGCCAAGUCUGUGGUGAAAUCCUCCGGCUCAACCGGAGAACUGCCGUGGAUACUGGCGACCUCGAGGGGGGUAGGGGCUUGCGGAACUGUGCGUGGAGCGGUGAAAUGCGUUGAUAUGCACAGGAACUCCGGUGGCGAAGGCGGCGAGCUGGACCCUUUCUGACACUGAGGCGCGAAAGCCAGGGGAGCGAACGGG